ACCCCCUGGCAAUGGGCAAAGAGACGCCUUGUUGGUGGUGUCGUUCUUAUAUCAGCCAGGGCAGAAGGCAGUCCUUUGUUCAUCCUAGCUUAAUAGCCAAAGCUGUUUACUGCCUAAGACACAUAA
ensembl:snoRNA Gm24782 predicted gene, 24782